rnacentral:rRNA from 1 species
GAAUUUAAUAUAAAAUUAGUUUAUUUUAGUUGUUUAGAUUGAUUAAAAUUUAUAUUUAGUUGGGGGGAUUGUUAAAUUUAAAUAACUUUAAUUGUAAAUAAUAUUAAUUAAUGAUUUUAUGAAUAUUUAUUAAGUGUAAUUAGAAUUAAUUACCUUAGGGAUAACAGCAUAAUAUUUUUUGAGAGACCUUAUUGAUAAAAGUGAUUAU